CACAUUGAAAAACCUAUUUUCAUAUGAUCACUGAAGUUAAGCAAUGUCAAGCCUGGUCAGUACCAAGAUGGAUGACCACUUGGGAAUAACAGGUGCUGUAAG